UGUGUACUCCCUUUGUUCCAAAAUACUUGACUUCCAUUUGUCCAAAAAUGGAUGUACCUAUAUACUAAAACAUGUCUAGAUACAUAUAUAUUUUUACAAAUAGAAGGCAUGUAUUGUGCAAUGGAGGGAGUAGAAU
rfam:Triticum aestivum genome assembly, contig: Triticum_aestivum_CS42_TGACv1_scaffold_423186_5BS